AUUGAACGCUGGCGGCAGGCCUAACACAUGCAAGUCGAACGGUAACAGGAAGAAUCUUGCUUCUUUGCUGACGAGUGGCGGACGGGUGAGUAAUGUCUGGGAAACUGCCUGAUGGAGGGGGAUAACUACUGGAAACGGUAGCUAAUACCGCAUAACGUCGCAAGACCAAAAAGGGGGACCUUCGUGCCUCUUGCCAUCGGAUGUGCCCAGAUGGGAUUAGCUAGUAGGUGGGGUAACGGCGCACCUAGGCGACGAUCCCUAGCUGGUCUGAGAGGAUGACCAGCCACACUGGGACUGAGACACGGUCCAGACUCCUACGGGAGGCAGCAGUGGGGAAUAUUGAACAAUGGGCGCAAGCCUGAUGCAGCCAUGCCGCGUGUAUGAAGAAGGCCUUCGGGUUGUAAAGUACUUUCAGCGGGGAGGAAGGGAGUAAAGUUAAUACCUUUGCUCAUUGACGUGACCCGCAGAAGAAGCACCGGCUAACUCCGUG
rnacentral:rRNA from 1 species